AGACUGGAUAGGAAACAAAAAGGCAUCUUUUUGUUUUUAAAAGACCUUCUUACGAAGGUAUGCUUAAAGAGGGGCUUGCGCCACAUUAGUUAGUUGGUAGAGUAAAAGCCUACCAAGACGAUGAUGUGUAGCUGGACUGAGAGGUUGAACAGCCACAUUGGGACUGAGACACGGCCCAAACUCCUACGGGAGGCAGCAGUAGGGAAUUUUCGGCAAUGGAGGAAACUCUGACCGAGCAACGCCGCGUGAACGAUGAAGUAUUUCGGUAUGUAAAGUUCUUUUAUUGAAGAAGAAAAAGUAGUGGAAAAACUAUAUUGACGUUAUUCAAUGAAUAAGCCCCGGCUAACUAUGUGCCAGCAGCCGCGGUAAGACAUAGGGGGCGAGCGUUAUCCGGAAUUAUUGGGCGUAAAGGGUGCGUAGGCUGUUAGAUAAGUCUAUAAUUUAAUUUCAGUGCUUAACGCUGUCUUGUUAUAGAAACUGUCUUGACUAGAGUGAGAUAGAGGCAAGCGGAAUUCCAUGUGUAGCGGUAAAAUGUGUAAAUAUAUGGAGGAACACCAGAAGCGUAGGCGGCUUGCUGGGUCUUUACUGACGCUGAGGCACGAAAGCGUGGGUAGCAAACAGGAUUAGAUACCCUGGUAGUCCACGCCGUAAACGAUGAGUACUAAGUGUCGGGGUAAAACUCGGUACUGAAGUUAACACAUUAAGUACUCCGCCUGAGUAGUACGUACGCAAGUAUGAAACUUAAAGGAAUUGACGGGACUCCGCACAAGCGGUGGAUCAUGUUGUUUAAUUCGAAGAUACACGAAAAAUCUUACCAGGUCUUGACAUACUCUGCAAAGCUAUAGAAAUAUAGUGGAGGUUAUCAGGGAUACAGGUGGUGCAUGGUUGUCGUCAGUUCGUGUCGUGAGAUGUUAGGUUAAGUCCUAAAACGAACGCAACCCUUGUCGUUAAUUGCCAGCACAUAAUGGUGGGGACUUUAACGAGACUGCCAAUUAAACAUUGGAGGAAGGUGAGGAUUACGUCAAAUCAUCAUGCCCCUUAUGAUCUGGGCUACAAACGUGAUACAAUGGCUGUGACAAAGAGUAGCUGAAACGCGAGUUUUUAGCCAAUCUCAAAAAAGCAGUCUCAGUUCGGAUUGAAGUCUGUAACUCGACUUCAUGAAGUUGGAAUCGCUAGUAAUCGCGAAUCAGCAUGUCGCGGUGAAUACGUUCUCGGGGUUUGUACACACCGCCCGUCAAACCACGAAAAGUUAGCAAUGCCCGAAAGCAGUAGCUUAACUUCGCAAAAAGAGGGAACUGUCUAAGGUAGGGUUGAUGAUUGGGGUUAAGUCG
rnacentral:rRNA from 1 species